rnacentral:rRNA from 1 species
CAGCCGCCGCGGUAAUACGUAGGUCCCGAGCGUUGUCCGGAUUUAUUGGGCGUAAAGCGAGCGCAGGCGGUUAGAUAAGUCUGAAGUUAAAGGCUGUGGCUUAACCAUAGUACGCUUUGGAAACUGUUUAACUUGAGUGCAGAAGGGGAGAGUGGAAUUCCAUGUGUAGCGGUGAAAUGCGUAGAUAUAUGGAGGAACACCGGUGGCGAAAGCAGCUCUCUGGUCUGUAACUGACGCUGAGGCUCGAAAGCGUGGGGAGCAAACAGGAUUAGAUACCCCUGUAGUCCCUGUCUCUUAUACA